UACGGGGGGGGCAAGCGUUGUUCGGAAUUACUGGGCGUAAAGGGCUCGUAGGCGGCCAACUAAGUCAUACGUGAAAUCCCUCGGCUUAACCGGGGAACUGCGUCUGAUACUGGAUGGCUUGAGUUCGGGAGAGGGAUGCGGAAUUCCAGGUGUAGCGGUGAAAUGCGUAGAUAUCUGGAGGAACACCGGUGGCGAAGGCGGCAUCCUGGACCGGUAUUGACGCUGAGGCGCGAAAGCCAGGGGAGCAAACGGG
rnacentral:rRNA from 1 species